GAACGAAGGCUUCGGCCUUAGUGGCGCACGGGUGCGUAACGCGUGGGAAUCUGCCCUUGGGUUCGGAAUAACAGUUGGAAACGACUGCUAAUACCGGAUGAUGUCUUCGGACCAAAGAUUUAUCGCCCAGGGAUGAGCCCGCGUAGGAUUAGCUUGUUGGUGAGGUAAAGGCUCACCAAGGCGACGAUCCUUAGCUGGUCUGAGAGGAUGAUCAGCCACACUGGGACUGAGACACGGCCCAGACUCCUACGGGAGGCAGCAGUGGGGAAUAUUGGACAAUGGGCGAAAGCCUGAUCCAGCAAUGCCGCGUGAGUGAUGAAGGCCUUAGGGUUGUAAAGCUCUUUUACCCGGGAUGAUAAUGACAGUACCGGGAGAAUAAGCCCCGGCUAACUCCGUG
rnacentral:rRNA from 1 species